rnacentral:rRNA from 1 species
GUGGGGAAUCUUAGACAAUGGGCGCAAGCCUGAUCUAGCCAUGCCGCGUGAGCGAUGAAGGCCUUAGGGUUGUAAAGCUCUUUCGUGGGGGAAGAUAACGACUGUACCCCAAGAAGAAGCCCCGGCUAACUCCGUGCCAGCAGCCGCGGUAAUACGGAGGGGGCUAGCGUUGUUCGGAAUUACUGGGCGUAAAGCGCACGUAGGCGGACUGGAAAGUCAGGGGUGAAAUCCCGGGGCUCAACCCCGGAACUGCCUUUGAAACUCCCAGUCUUGAGUUCGAGAGAGGUGAGUGGAAUUCCGAGUGUAGAGGUGAAAUUCGUAGAUAUUCGGAGGAACACCAGUGGCGAAGGCGGCUCACUGGCUCGAUACUGACGCUGAGGUGCGAAAGCGUGGGGAGCAAACAGGAUUAGAAACCCGUGUAGUCC